UUCCAGACUCCUACGGGAGGCAGCAGUGAGGAAUAUUGGUCAAUGGCCGUAAGGCUGAACCAGCCAAGUGGCGUGAGGGAAGACUGCCCUAUGGGUUGUAAACCUCUUUUAUGCGGGGAUAAAGGUGUCCACGUGUGGAUGUUUGCAGGUGCCGCAUGAAUAAGGACCGGCUAAUUCCGUGCCAGCAGCCGCGGUAAUACGGAAGGUCCGGGCGUUAUCCGGAUUUAUUGGGUUUAAAGGGAGCGUAGGCCGGCUUUUAAGUCAGCUGUGAAAGUCCGCGGCUCAACCGUGGAAUUGCAGUUGAAACUGGAGGCCUUGAGUGCACACAGGGAUGCCGGAAUUCAUGGUGUAGCGGUGAAAUGCUUAGAUAUCAUGAAGAACUCCGAUCGCGAAGGCAAGUGUCCGGGGUGCAACUGACGCUGAGGCUCGAAAGUGCGGGUAUCAAACAGGAUUAGAUACCCCCGUAGG
rnacentral:rRNA from 1 species